UUGGAGGGCAAGUCUGGUGCCAGCAGCCGCGGUAAUUCCAGCUCCAAUAGCGUAUAUUAAAGUUGUUGCAGUUAAAAAGCUAGUAGUUGAAUUUCGGGAUCAAUACGUCGGUCGUGCUUUUUUGGUACGCACUGGCGUCAUUGGUUUCUCCUUUCUGACGAACCAUGAUGUCAUUAAUUUGGUGUUAUGGGGAGUUAGGACUGUUACUUUGAAAAAAUUAGAGUGUUUAAAGCAGGCAUUAGCUUGAAUACAUUAGCAUGGAAUAAUGAAAUAGGACGUUCGAUCCUAUUUUGUUGGUUUCUAGGAUCAACGUAAUGAUUAAUAGGGAUAGUUGGGGGCAUUAGUAUUCAAUUGUCAGAGGUGAAAUUCUUGGAUUUAUUGAAGACUAACUACUGCGAAAGCAUUUGCCAAGGAUGUUUUCAUUAAUCAAGAACGAAAGUUAGGGGAUCGAAGACGAUCAGAUACCGUCGUAGUCUUAACCAUAAACUAUGCCGACUAGGGAUCGGAUGAUGUUAAUUUUAUAAUGACUCAUUCGGCGCCUUACGGGAAAC
rnacentral:rRNA from 1 species